GUCCACGCCGUAAACGAUGUCUACUAGCCGUUGGGGUACUUGAGACCUUAGUGGCGCAGCUAACGCACUAAGUAGACCGCCUGGGGAGUACGGCCGCAAGGUUAAAACUCAAAUGAAUUGACGGGGGCCCGCACAAGCGGUGGAGCAUGUGGUUUAAUUCGAUGCAACGCGAAGAACCUUACCAGGUCUUGACAUACAGCGAACUUUCCAGAGAUGGAUUGGUGCCUUCGGGAACGCUGAUACAGGUGCUGCAUGGCU
rnacentral:rRNA from 1 species